GGCUACGUAGCUCAGUUUGGUUUAGAGCACAGCACUCAUAACGCUGAGGUCAUGGGUUCAACUCCCAUCGUAGCUA
rnacentral:tRNA from 1 species